GCUGAAAGCAUCUAAGCAUGAAGCCCCCCUCAAGAUGAGAUUUCCCAACUUCGGUUAUAAGAUCCCUCAAAGAUGAUGAGGUUAAUAGGUUCGAGGUGGAAGCAUAGCGAUAUGUGCAGCUGACGAAUACUAAUCGAUCGAAGACUUAAUCAAAUUUUA
rnacentral:rRNA from 1 species